GCCUUCUCUCUUAGAUGAGAGAACCCCAAGCAAUGGAAGAAUUUGCUUCAAGAAAUGCUUUUUAUAAAAUCUCAUUUUUUGGCUAAGUGGUAAACACACACACACACACACACACACACAGACACAGUGGUGACUCAUCAGUUGAAAUCAAAUCCUUCGUCCCAAAAAAAGUGUUUUUAUAAGAAGUGGGUGUUUUUUUCUUUCCCUAAAGGCAGACUGCAUAAUAUUUGCUGCUUCUCUUUUCUGAAUAAUUUAUUCCAUGCCAGUGGAAAUUGACAGUUUCAGACUGAAGUCAAUAGCAUUUUAUUUUCAGAGCUGUGCAUGGUACCCCCAUUAUCCAAGGAUCUGCUUUUGCCUACAACCCUAAGGGGAGUUCAGCAUCAGACCGUUUCACACCAACACAAUCCCCCUCUUCCUCCCUUCCCUUUGACUAGCUACUAACCUGUUCUUCUGAAGACCCUGGAGCAGAAUAAAUGCCUAGAGAGAGCAUUAGGAGACAGCAUCCAGGUAUAAAAAGCAUGGCAAGUCUAUUGUUUUUCAGGAACCCAGUCACAGAAUCAAUCCAUAUCUCCUGACCCAGGUACUCCACUCAGAAGUCUGUUCUUUUCACAGCUCCCCUCCACAAAACAUUUUCUUUCAUUGUUUCUUUCCUAAGACUCUACAACUCUGAAAGAAAGCAAUGUAAUUCAUUUCUGAUCCAUGAAAGCAAACAUCCCAUUCCAUUCCAUUUGUCUUCUUGGAAGCUUCCACAAAUGUCUCCUUGCUAGAAAACAAAAAUACAAAACUUGUACUCAUUUCUGUUCCAGACUGAAAUACAUGGGAAACUUUUAUGGGUCCUGGACUAUAGUCUGGGCUUCAUGAAUUAAGAUAUUUAAGAGAGAUACAGUAAUAGAGUUAAGACUAGGAAAAUAGUUCAAAAACUCCUCGGGUUGAAAACAGCAGCAUCCAACAGCUGCUCAGAUCAAGAGUGGGACUAGACUCAAGGUGACCAACCUCUAUGGACUGAGCUAAAAUACGUAUCUUGCAGCCCUAACCCCUGAUGUAAUGGUAUUAUGAGACAGAACCUUUGGAAGAUGAUGAGGUUUAGAUGAGGUCAUAAGGGUGAGGCCCUCAUGAUGGGAUUAGCGCCCUUAUAAGAAGAGACACCAAAUACCAGAUCUCUCUGUCUCUCUCCCCGUGUACCCCACUGUCUAACAUGUGAGGACACAAGAAGGCAUCUGUUUACAUGGCAGGAGGAGAGACCUCACAAGAAACCAAUCAUGAUGGCACCUUGAUCUUAGACCGUCAGCCUCCAGAAAAGUGGAAGGCUGGGCAGGCAGCCCUGUUCUUCACUAUGGAGUGGGCUGCACAGACUAGCAGAUGCCAGAUAGACAGCCCAAUAAACUCAGCUAAUUUCUCACAAGAGGAAAAAUGCCAGAACGACAAGAAAUAUGCCAAAGUGACAAGAAAUAACUGAAGAAGUCCACUAGUCAUGAAAAAUAGUGAUUCUUGGAUAUCUAAUAAACCUUGAGAUAAGAGAUAAGUGCUUCAAUGAACAUCCUUGUAAAUGUCUCCUAGUGAACGUGUACAAAAGUUUCUCCCAGAAGUAGAAAUGCUGAGCUAUAGAGCGUGUGUGUCCUCAGCAUUACUGGGUAUUCCCAAAAUGUUCAUCAAAGGACACCAAUGUAUACGCCUGGCAACAACAUAGAAGCAGUCCCUUUCCCCUACAUCUUUAGCUGAAUCAGUAUUAUCAGGUUUAAAAAUUUGUCUAUAUCUAGACUCCCGUUUCUGUUCCAUUGAUUUGCUUCUCAAUUAUAUGCUAAUA